GUUUUCUCAUGUUCUGUUUUACAGAUUAGCCUGUUAUUGAAAGCAUAUUGAAGUUUCCUUGGAUAUUACUGAGUGUCCCCAAAUGGAUCGUGUACGGUGAUGUGUUCUUACUACACUUCGUUUACCCUUGUCGUCUUCACAUGGAAAAAUUUUCUACAUAAAUAAUAAUAAGUAAAUAGAUUGACUGAUGAAUGAGAGAAUAUUGGUUUAUUUGGGCCUUGCUGUAUCAACCAAUUGUCUGCAAUGGUAUUCGUUUUCCUGGACUUGAUAUACUGUUGACAUUUUCACCUUGCAUUUGGAAAUUUAUUUAUUUAUUCACAUAUUUCAACUUUGGAACGUGACAUUCUGCAAUUAAUUAAGAUUAGCCUGUUAUUGAAAGAAUAUUGAAGUUUCCUUGGAUAUUACUGAGUGUCCCCAAAUGGAUCGUGUACGGUGAUGUGUUCUUACUGCACUUCGUUUACCCUCGUCUUCACAUGGAAAAAUUUUCUACAUAUUUAAGAUCGUCCAACAGAUGAGAGAAAAUUGAAGUUCAGGUUGAUCAUAUUGAAGCAACCAAUAACUGGUGUUGUCUUUCUUGGACUGUAUUCUGGAUUUGCUGUUUUCAUCUUCACCUUGCAACAUUAUGCAGUUAAUUUUCAACAGAUAAGUGAGAACAAGAGGAGAUUUUCUUCAAUUCCACUAAAAGAGCAAGUUUCCUUCUUUGGCAUUUUCACUGCAUUUGGUUUGCUUUGCUAUUCACACCUGCAAACUUUGGAAUGUUACAAUCUACAGUUAAUUAAGGUGAGAAUACUUGAUAUAAUUA